AUUGAACGCUGGCGGCAGGCCUAACACAUGCAAGUCGAGCGGAUGAAGGGAGCUUGCUCCUGGAUUCAGCGGCGGACGGGUGAGUAAUGCCUAGGAAUCUGCCUGGUAGUGGGGGAUAACGUCCGGAAACGGGCGCUAAUACCGCAUACUUCCUGAGGGAGAAAGUGGGGGAUCUUCGGACCUCACGCUAUCAGAUGAGCCUAGGUCGGAUUAGCUAGUUGGUGGGGUAAAGGCCUACCAAGGCGACGAUCCGUAACUGGUCUGAGAGGAUGAUCAGUCACACUGGAACUGAGACACGGUCCAGACUCCUACGGGAGGCAGCAGUGGGGAAUAUUGGACAAUGGGCGAAAGCAUGAUACAGCCAUGCCGCGUGUGUGAAGAAGGUCUUCGGAUUGUAAAGCACUUUAAGUUGGGAGGAAGGGCAGUAAGUUAAUACCUUGCUGUUUUGACGUUACCAACAGAAUAAGCACCGGCUAACUUCGUG
rnacentral:rRNA from 1 species